ACGCUCGACACCUACGGGAUGCAGCAGUGGGGAAUAUUGCACAAUGGAGGAAACUCUGAUGCAGCGAUGCCGCGUGAGGGAAGAAGGUUUUCGGAUUGUAAACCUCUGUCUUUGGGGACGAUAAUGACGGUACCCAAGGAGGAAGCUCCGGCUAACUACGUGCCAGCAGCCGCGGUAAUCUGAGCGGCUGGCAAGGC
rnacentral:rRNA from 1 species